UAAAAUAAAUAUUAGGCCUAUAGGUUUAAUACAUAUUUCUUAGAAUAUAGAAAUUUAGAUCUAGUGUUCUGGUUAGUAGUUAUUUCAUGUUUAUUAGAAUAUAGUCUAGAUUCUAGAAUCUAAUCAUACGGCUGCAUAAAAAGAAAACCCAUCUGCCAUCUAGAUCUAGAGAAGCGGAGUGUUUUCCGCACUCAAGAGGAAGGAGGUUGCAGGGAACUUAGAGACUAAUCUUUGCCAACAUACUGGAUUUCUGGUGAUGACAAUAGGAGCAAAUAGUAUGCGGCUCAGUUAAUACUAAAAACAAUUGAUUUUAGUAAUUAGUGGACUAUGAGUGUGUGUUUGGUCAUCCAGAUUUCAUAACUACAACUGAUGUUCAAUUACAAGGGAUAUUAAUCAGUCUCCGUGGACUAUACA